AAACCUCGGUCUUAGUAAUUGUUAUUUUGAUACUGCAAUUAUUUUCCACUGUUGGCUAUGAUUAUAUUUCAAAUGUUAAAUUUUUAAAAAUCAGACCCUUGUACUAAUUACAAAUGUGAAUGCAAAAUAUCUGAGACAUGUCUGUCAAUUUAGAAAGUUUAUGUUGCCAAGGUUAAGGAUGUGCCUGCCUGUGACAAAGCCUCAGGAAUCCCUGAGACAUGUGCCCAAGGUGGUCAGGGGUACAGUUGGUUUUCAUACAUUUUAGGGAGAUAUGAAACAUCAAUCAAUAUGUGUAAGAGGUACGUUAAGUGGUCUGGUAAGGUGGGACAACUCCAAGCAGGAGCUUCUGGGUUAGAAGUAGAUAAGGGAAAAAGGUUGAAUUCUUUUGAGUCCUUGAUCAGUCUUCCAUUGAAUACAGAAUUCAGUCUGGCUCACUGAAUGUGCACUUUUACAUAAAUAAUAGGAAAGAGGGAGUGUGGGGGUCCGUCCCACAGACCCUAACCCAACGAUGGAUGAAUAAUGUACACUGACACAGAUAUUAUGCUUGUCAGUCUGGCUGAGGGUCUGGGCCGCUUACAGACUCCCAGGAGAGUGUUGUAAAGAGUUGCAACCGUGGCUCCAACUUGCUGGCCUUUCCAGCAUUUAUUCAGCCCACAUUAAAUGACAAAAGUCUCAAUAAACACCACUAGAAGGUAAUUACCAUUGCCAACCCCUGAAUAGAGAGCAAUCAUGCACCCGUGGAUGGUCAAAAGUCAGUCUUAGGACCACAUGAGCAAACAAGCUAUUUAGAUAGACUCCUCUACAUUCCUAUGUUAGUUACCCUUGUUAUAGCUCAAAGAGGAUUAGGCUGCCUUCAGCCAUUAACUCUAUCCUGAAGCUUUUGCAAAAACCUUCUGGCCCUCCAAGAAGGUUUAUUUUACAAAAUUUCCCACCAUCCUGACUGAAUCCCUAACUCUUCCCCUUUUCUGUUUUCUGCAUCAGGUCUUAUUGAUUGGAGAGCACAGAUGUAUGCAGCAGCAGGUUUGUCAGGCGUGGUGGUCAUUGCUCUUAUUCUGGCUUUGCAUCCUAGAAUUAGUAAAUAAAAUAAGACAAUCAUAAGUAUAAUUAGCAACAUUCUUUUCCAAUCAAAGAGUGACCCCAGGAGUGGGGGUCUAACCCGGAGAGGUGAUCUUGCACAUCCUUCCAUAUGGCCGUUUGUUGGGUGUGUAGAUCUAUAGUGUGAAGGAAUUCUAAAAUUUUAGUUUUAAGUUGCUUUAUGUCUGCUGUUAAAUUAUCAUGAAAGGUUCCCCAGAAGUGUUGUUUCACCUCAUCCCAACUAGGUAUUGAUUGAUUCCAUCAUAGAGAAGUGACACAGAUAUGUUUAUGCUCCCAGUCGCAGUUUAAUUGCUGUUGGAAUGCCAGGGCAUCUUGUUGCUCCCCCACAUAUUCCGAAGCAGCCUCGAGGGCUUGCAGACGUGCAAGAAUUUUUUGAUCUAUACCCUGCUGUAAGAGAAGUUAAUUAGACCCAUUUUGGCCAGAGUAUGUACAAAGGCAGCUGUUUGUACUGACUCAGUAACAGAUGCCACAGCAAUACUAACAGUCGCCAGGAUGACUAUGGCUGAGGCUAUAAAGACUAUAGACUAUAAAGACUAUAAAGGCUGUAAGUGUAACUAUGAAUCUUUUGUGUCUGACCUGGUAUAGAGCAUGUUCUAAGGUGGCAAGGGCAGAGGAACCUUGCUAAUCAUGUGUCAAAUUGGUAGGAAUGCCUCAGAUUGUCUCCUUAAUACCAUGACACUAGUAACAUUUAGAUCAGAUAUAUUGUAAUUAGUGAUAUAUAACACAAACCAAGCCUGUCCCUGCACCUGGGUCACAAACGCGGAGUUUUGGGGUGUAAUGGAAAUAUUGGUUCCCAUAAGGAAACAUAUGGAUGGGUAGUACAAAUUAGGCAUAAUCAUAAUCAAAUUCAUAAUCAGUGUGAUUAUGAAUAAAGGUUAUAGUAUAGUUGUUACUGGAAUUAUGAUAUGUCCCAUGCCAGGUGUCAAUGGAGGUGCCAAGAUGUCCCAGGAGCCAUAAAAUAUCUUGGGGUGGCAUGGAUUUUACUUGGGGUCUGGGAUAUCCCAUCCCCUCAUUGGCCCAAAUCAUAGGGGAACAGGACGUGGCUACAAAACUGUGAUUGAUGCCAUGAUGGAUGAGGACAUUAGUAAGGCUGCCCUGCAAAUGGCCGUGGGGGCUUCAGUCUAAAAUGUUAUAAUUGCCUAACUGGAGGCUACAGGCUUGUCCCCCAUGACAGACCUCCUAGCUAAAGUGAAAUCAAUUACUUUCCCGGCUUUGUCCUUUAACACAGGAAAGAAUGUUUGGGAAAGCAGCAUUUAUUGCAUUACCUGGUUUUAGGCUACCUGCAGCUAAGGCUGUUAAGGCAUUUCCUUUGCCAUGAUGUAGCCAUAAUAAGAGUUGGGUCACUGAGGAAAACUGAAAACACCUGCAGGUCCAACUGGGAUAGGAGUAGAUUAAUGUACAAAAAGUAGAUGCCUAGCCGGGCAUGGUGGCUCACGCCCGUAAUCCCAGCACUUUGGGAAGCUGAGGUGGGUGGAUCACCUGACGUCGGGAGAUCGAGACCAGCCUGACCAACGUGGAGAAACCCCGUCUCUACUAAAAAUACAAAAUUAGCCAGG
rnacentral:lncRNA from 1 species